rnacentral:rRNA from 1 species
CCAGACUCCUACGGGAGGCAGCAGUGGGGAAUAUUGCACAAUGGGGGAAACCCUGAUGCAGCGACGCCGCGUGAGUGAAGAAGUAUUUCGGUAUGUAAAGCUCUAUCAGCAGGAACGAGACAAGACGGUACCUGACUAAGAAGCCCCGGCUAACUACGUGCCAGCAGCCGCGGUAAUACGUAGGGGGCAAGCGUUAUCCGGAUUUACUGGGUGUAAAGGGAGCGUAGACGGCCAUGCAAGUCUGAUGUGAAAACCCGGGGCUCAACCCCGGGACUGCAUUGGAAACUGUGCGGCUGGAGUGUCGGAGAGGCAAGUGGAAUUCCUAGUGUAGCGGUGAAAUGCGUAGAUAUCGCGCAGAACUCCGAUUGCGGAGGCAGCAUGCCGGCUCCACACUGACGCUGAGGCACGAAAGCGUGGGUAUCGAACAGGAUUAGAUACCCUCGUA